rnacentral:rRNA from 1 species
CUACGGAGGGUGCAAGCGUUAUUCGGAAUCACUGGGCGUAAAGGACGCGUAGGCGGGUUGGCAAGUCAGAUGUGAAAUCCUACAGCUUAACUGUAGAACUGCAUUUGAAACUGCUAACCUAGAGUAUGUGAGGGGGAGAUGGAAUUAGUGGUGUAGGGGUAAAAUCCGUAGAUAUCACUAGGAAUACCGAAAGCGAAGGCGAUCUCCUGGAACAUAACUGACGCUAAGGCGUGAAAGCGUGGGGAGCAAACAGGAUUAGAUACCCUAGUAGUCC